UUGCAAUUUUGCAGAGAUGAAGAGGAGGGCCGACCCCAGCCAAAGCAGUCCUUCCUGCCACCGAGGCCUGCCUCGCAAAGUUCUGAGCUGCCGAUUCCUGAGUUGCCGUGCGGCCUUCUCGAGGGAACAGCGGGAGCGGAUUGGUCGGGCGCUGUAUGUAUUGUAUGAGAAAUGUAC